rnacentral:rRNA from 1 species
GACAGAGGGGGCAAGCGUUGCUCGGAAUUACUGGGCGUAAAGGGCGCGUAGGCGGGCUGGCAAGUCGGUCGUGAAAUCCCUCGGCUCAACUGAGGAUCGUCGAUCGAUACUGCCGUUCUUGAGGAUUGCAGAGGAGACUGGAAUUCCCGGUGUAGCGGUGAAAUGUGUAGAGAUCGGGAGGAACACCGGUGGCGAAGGCGGCUACCUGGACCGGUUCUGACGCUGAUGCGCGAAAGCGUGGGUAGCAAACAGG